AUUUCGCAUCAAGACAAUUUCAAAUUCAAAAUUUUGAAUUUUAACGAUAUACCUUUAAAAAUUCGUAGUAGUCAUCUUAUAAUGGCCCAAAUUAAUAGAUCAAUUUCUAUGCCAAUGUCAAAGCAAAGACAACCAAUUUAUGAAUAUAAAAUCAUAAAAAUAAAAUAACCUCUUAAAUUGAUCUGCAUGUUAUUGUCGUUCUGCUGAAAGGGCACAAUAAUUUUUCAAGAAUGAGGCGAAUCGAUGGAAAUUUCGGACCUAGAGAUGUUGAAGAGGAUAAAAAGCGAAGUCGCGAUGCAGUUCUUGGAACUUUCCUCAUAUUUGGAAUGAUGAUAGCCGCUAUUAAAAUAGUCCCUUACGUUUUGAGAGUCGACUAGUGAGCUUUAUUAAUUUUCGAAGAGCAUCUUGUCAACCAAAGACUAUUGGAAAAAUGUACUGGGGAUGGUACUAAACCUCAUUGUGAUAAAAAUUUUGUAUGUUUUACAUUACUUGUUAGGAAAUAUUUAUCAUAAUGUUUUAGUGGAAUGCAAUAAAUUAAUCUAAUAUU